CGAGGGGGGCAAGUGUUGUUCGGAAUCACUGGGCGUAAAGGGAGCGUAGGCGGGCUCUUAAGUUGGAUGUUUAAAACCGGGGCUAACCCCGGCGUGGCAUCCAAAACUGGGAGUCUUGAAUGGAACAGAGGCUAGUGGAAUUGGAGGUGUAGCGGUGGAAUGCGUAGAGAUCUCCAAGAACACCCGUUGCGAAGGCGGCUAGCUGGGUUCACAUUGACGCUGAGGCUCGAAAGCAUGGGGAGCAAACAGGAUUAGAUACCCUGGUAGUCCAUGCCGUAAACGAUGAACACUAGGUUUUGACCCCGUCAACGGGUCAGAGCCGCAGCUAACGCGUUAAGUGUUCCGCCUGGGGAGUACGGUCGCAAGACUG
rnacentral:rRNA from 1 species